rnacentral:pre_miRNA from 1 species
UCUUCAUUUCCUGUACUCUCUCGCCAGUCAGGGUUGAGAGAGAGCAUGUGAAAUGAAGAGA